GAAAGAGCUUGCAUGGUUGAUGUCUUGUUCGAUUUUUUUUUCUAUGGUGCUAAUCUAAGUCUUGAGUAGUUCCAAGGAUGGAAAGGUUGGUCGACAAUGGCAGCGCUGAAGGUUUGGUGUUUCUGUGGAGUGCCGAGUCAAAGUCUAAUGGGUUGAAAAUCCAAUGUGCCUGGGAUUUGUCUUUUGGGCUUUAGAUCCUAUUAGGAUGCUGAGUUUGGAUUCAAUCAGACUUUUUUAACUUGGACCCUUU
rnacentral:misc_RNA from 1 species